UCCUCCAUGCCAGGCACUCCGAGCAGAGCAGAGCUCGAUGGGAUCCGGAGCUCCGGCCCUGCUCCAGGUGCAGCAUGCGGAGCGGCUCAUAGGUGGCAGAGCAGAACCUGCCGCGCCGCGAUCUGCGCUCACAGCGCUGCGCACAGCAGCGCGUUGCAGUGUGACAGCGGAACAACCUGUUGGAACACCGCGCCGCUCCGCAGCUGGGAAUCCCUCAUGGUUUAUGUGGGCUGACAGUCUUGGCCCCUCUCCUCUGCUGUCAUAACCAGGGUGCAGGGCGAGGUGGGAGCAGGUAGGCAGCGCUGUGUGACGGGAGAGGUUGCCACAGCCUUACCUUUGGCAUCGAGUGUGCUGCUGUGCGCGCCGCACCAUCGUUUGAUGUCUUUCCAUGGCAUGUCUGCAGGGUUAGGGCUGUCGCUCUCCAGUAAAAUCUUUUAUUCUGUUUUUAUAAAAAGCGACUUUGCUUUAAUGUUUUCAUAACACUGUGACUAUAAAUUGUCCAUACAACCUGGGACAAAGCACUCUACAGAGCUUUACCUGGAUGCUUUUCUUUCGAGACAAAAUAAUCACGAUUAUUCUGCUGUGGUUUCAGCUUUGCACUCGUCGUGGUCUUAUGCCUCCUUCUGAAGGCAGAUGUUCAGUCCCCUCCAGCAGCGCUGGACGGAACACCUGAACAACAAGAGCGAGACAGCAGUAACUCCUCUGAAAACUUCAGUCCUACUCUGCUCUCCAUUCAAAGUCAAUUGCAAAACCCCAUUCGACUUCAUACGGCAGUAGAGCUGGCGUCUGCAAAACAAUACCAAAACAAAAACAUCAGCAGAAAUCCAGUGUGGUGCUUCUAUUCUAGUUCUCUUACGGACACUUUGAAUGUUGUGUCCUGGAGUAAGAGUUGGAUUGCUCCAUGUUUUCCAAAAGCAGUCUUUCUGAAUCAGCCCUUCUUUUAGGAUAAAUGCUCCAAAAUGCAGCGUCACUCUGGCUAGGACUGUGCUGUGCUCCGGCUGCUAAGGUGUGCUGUUGAGGAACUUAAAAGAAGGCAGAUCUGAAAGACCCUCAGAAGAAACAAACAGCGCUGCUUUCGUUCCCCAUCUCUUUUGAACAGAAGAAACAUUCCCACACACACCUGCACAAUGUUUCAAAGCUUUUUGAUUUUUUUUUUGGCCUUGUGUGGGUCUUAAAUACUGGGCAAUCAGAGGUCCUCCUGUCCUUUUGGUUGUACUCUUUCUGUCUUUAAUAACGGGUUUGAUGCCUUGCUGUUCCCACUGAAGCUGUACCAGUUGAGAAAAAAUGGGCAAUUGAGCAAUAAACAUAAGAGGAGGGAGACCUCUCUUGGCUUCUUCUUGUUCCCUCCGCACAAUGUAAGCGGAGGUCUUUCAGUGAAGCACUGUUUUAGCUGUAGGUGCCAAUGUUUGUGUUUAAGGGUAUGGGAAAAAGCCAUAGUUCGUUCCAAAACUCGUAUUUUCUAAGAUGAUGCCAGUGGUGAGGGUAGGUUUUUCCUCUUCCUGCUUUUGUUGUAAAUGGCAGCGAAGUAGCGAUGAUUUUCUAGCUUACCUUUGAUGUUUAUUUUAUUACCGUUCCACUAUUUGUGCGGAAAAUGUACACAUUGUCUCUUAUCUUUAUUCAAAGAACUUAAAAAGUCAUUCAAAUGCUGUAGGUAAACACAUCAGACAUAACAGAAGCUUUUCACAGCCAUACUUCAAGACGAGGGGUGGAUGGCAAAGCUGGUUUUGCAGGAUUUAGGAGAGGACAGGAGCUUGUGCUCAAAAUAACGUAGUUAAAGAUAGCUAUUAGUGGCUAUUAGUGGAGUGGGGUACCUUCGUAAGAGCAGCGCUGAUUCUUGUGUGGGCUCAAAGCCUCCGUGCUGCCUCUCAGCCAAUCCCUGUGUAAAUUGUCCCGGAAAUCUAUGGUGGCUCUUACCUGAGAAAACACAUGAAGGUGCUUACGUGAGGGCUGAGCAUGGUUUAAACAGAACCUUCCCAGCCCAAGUGGGAGUGGAGUCAAGACCGCUGCCAUUGCUGCCCAUGAAGGAACGGGUGUAGUUUUAAGAAGAGGCAAAGCAGUACAACCGCUCCUGUCUCUCACCACUGAGAGUGUAUGUAACCUCAAGUCUUUUCCUGCUAUAGUUUUUUAAAAGGCACAGUAUCGCCUUCAGGUUUAUAAAGAUUAACACAAUCAUCGGAAAAACUGAUUCUGUUAAGUAAACUUCACAUCAAAAGCGCUUUGAUGUGCUGUAUUAUAGCAAAGCCAAACACUCCACCCCCAUCACCCCAAGAAAAACCUCCAAAAACCUUUGAGUGAAGCAAUGUGAAAAAAAUCCAGAUUCUUUGUUCUAAAAUGGAAUGUCUCUUCCUCUUGAGCGCAGCAGAGCAGGACUUUUUUUUGAUGUAUUGACCCCCUCUUUUCCUACCCAAAACAGUACCUCAUCAAAAACAAAGAAGUGAAACAUGAAUGGUGGGUUGCAAAUCACACACGCAGCUUUACUUCCCAUUUUCUGUAGUAUUUGACUCCUUUAUUUCAGAGUAUGCCAAUGAAUGUUUGAAGGUAAGGCAGUUUGCUCAACCUUUAUGUUCUAGAAAUAUUCCCCACUAAAUGUAGCAAAAUGCUACACCAUGGCAUGGUUGUGAGUAUGUUUUUGGUCGAUCCAGUUGUGUUACUUACGCGGUAUUUUAAGCCAAGAUUUGGCUGUACACUCCAGCAAAUGUUAUGUACUGGUGUGUUGCUCUAUGGAGUUGCUUUUAUUUUUAAUAUUUUUUUAUCUUUCUUUUUCACCUGAUCCUUUCUCACUCUCUUUUCUGUCUCUCAUCCCUCCAGAUGGCUAACUAGAUUAGAGAGUACUUCCAGAUAAGAUCUUAUAAGCACAAUUGGCCAACAAAUGUCUCUGUGUGUUGACUGGGCAAGUCCUAUAGCUAGUGGUAGGCAAGCUUAUUUGUACAUUUGAGAUGUCCGGCGCAGCAGCUGGACAAAGUGCUUCAUCAUCUCUUUUCCUCCUCCUGUAGCAAGCUGCAGGAGUGUGCUGCCUUGCCAGGAAUGAUGAAAUUGGACAAUGCAAUACGCUACAUGAACAACAAUAGACCAGUUCAAAGAGUUCUCUUUGGAUGGGCUGCUCACAGCGGGAGACUUGCCUAGCAUGCAUAAAUGAACUACAGAGUCUGUGGAGGUUGGCUAAUUGCACUAUAUACAUUUUUAUAGUUGAAGGAAAUCCAGCUGGAGACUAAGCCAUAAGAAAGGAGGUCAGUGGAAAUUCAUUUAGACCUUGAGAGGAAGAGUUUGAUCACUGAGGUAGAAUGCAUUUCUGUGUGAAUCCCCUCACUGUGAACUCUGCGGAUUUGCACUUUUCCACAGGAACAAGCAUUCCCUUGGGGUAGGGAUUCCCAUGUGUCUUUGGCAGAUACCAAGAGCUGAAUUUACAAUGGGGACUUCCAUUUUAACUUUGUUCUUCAUAACUCAAUGUUUAGUUUCUUGGGAGUUGUUGCUCGGGAGGAAAUUUUCCCAUGCCCGAAGGCUUAGAAUUGCUUCCUCCCUGUGCCCACUUCAUGUUCCAUAAAAAAGUCUACAUCUCAGCAAAUUUCUCCUUUGUACUGGAUUAUGACAGAAUGGGCAGGGACAGAUUUUUGCCCUGUGAAGAGGAUGACAUUGUUGCUGUUGCUACUAAUGCUUAGUACUACAGAAGUAGGUCCUUGUUCUCACACUGUCCUUCCCACACAGAGAUCUCAAAGCUCACCCAGUUUACAGCCAGGGCGGGUGACGGGGAGAUGUCCUGCUGAAAUCUGUUUGGCAUGUCCGUUGCAAUGCCUUCCGUAGAACUGAGCUCUUCAGAGUCUUCAUCCUGUGCUGCACCCACUGAGGUAUCCCCCGCGAGGCCUAAUCAGUAGCGUUGUGCCAUUCAGCAACUGCUGCCAGAACUGGAAUCGUGCUGUCACGAGUCUCAGAUGACUUACAGGACCAAGUGAACUGCAUAAUUCAGGAGCAGGCUGCAGUGGCUUUCCUGAGAUCUGAAUGGUCAGAAUCUAAUCCUCUCAUCACCUGAACAACUCGCAGACAGCAGUGGUCUCUUUGAAAAUCUGGUCCAUGCUGCUGCUUGCUGGGCCUUGAGGCAACACAGUUACAUUGAAGAGCCUCUGGCAAUGCUGGCUUACACAGAAACUCAAGAACUGCCAUGUGCCUGACAUCAUACCUUUGGAAGAAAAGAGAAGUCCUGGGUGUUAGCCCAAGACUGUGCAAAUCUCCACAAGCUGUGAAGAACAGGAGACUCUGAACCAGAAGCUGGGCAUGACUGAAGUACGAAGGGAGUUUCCAGGAAGAUGGAAUAAUAUUUCAAAAAUUUUCAGACUCCACUGCUGAUUUCAUAGAAGUAUAAAGCUCCAGCGCUUGUCGUUGGCAUUUCAGACUACGGAGACAUUUCUUCAUCUCUUAAGAAAGUUCUCAUUUGUAGCUUGAUUUAUUUAGGCUAUUUGGAAGACAGUCCAUUUUAAUUUUCUCCAGCUGAGAUGGAGUCAAUGCCAAGAGGCUUAGCAAAGCCCCACAUACAUUAAAACCUUGAAGUGCUAUCAAAGGGUAAGAAAAACGCCCUCCUAGCAUGCUACUUGAAUACCCAUCAGUUCUCUGUAAGUAAAUCUUGGUGACUUGAGCAGAGUUUAUUUUGAAGGCAGGACGUGAAGUAGCACACUCUGUACCCUCUACCCCAGCUUUGGCCUUUGCACGCAUUACCGUUAAAAGACUGGCCCCUUGGUGAAGUUAGGUGGAGUCAAGUGGAGAGGCAAACUUUUAAUAGGUGGGGCUUUCACUCCAGUGGGCCUGAAUUCAAACCUUCAAAACUUUGGCCAGGCUGAUGACUAUUCACAGUUGAGGUUUUAAUUAAAUGGUGUUGGUUAUGAGAAUUAAGUGUGGAAACUCUGUAUUCUAUUAUACUACCUCAUGUUGCCGAAAGAAAUAGAGCCUUGCUGCGUGAUUGAAGUGACAGAGCUAAGUGAAUAAUUCGCAACAAAUAAUUAAUCUAAAUGUUUCUAAAUGAUUCCUACAGAAUCUGAUUAUGGUUGAGAAAGAUUCCUAUUAUUAAUGCUAUGGGACUCCCUUUCACAAGGGGAAAGUUUAUUUAUAUAAGAUUAAUGGGUUGAGGUAUAGACUUGCAAGCUCUUCCUGAGUCAUCAGACCCAGAAAACAUGUAUUUUGUAUUAAGGUUAAUACAAUCUUCCAAGCAAAAGCAUUUAUGAGUGUACUUUAACUGAUGGGUAUAUGAUGACUGACGUUCCAAAACCUCUUCUGCAAACACCUACGCUGGCAUACUUUUAUGCAGAGGAGUAAUCCUAAUUAAUUUGGGAAAAUUACUCUGGUGCAUGAAUGUAUCCAUUACUAUUUGAAACAUCAUGGUCUUAGUAUGGUGAGUCUUGCAGAUACAAUCUUGAUCUCUAAAGAUGCCCACAAAGUCCCAUCCGGUCCUUAUGGCUACCUUAGUACUAGCAAGUAAAAUAGACCAGUACCCAGGCUUUGCCCCUGAGGGCUUGUGUCCACGUGGCUAAAUUCACCUCCUUCCAAAUAAAUAGCCUCAUCUGUUCUGCCCAGGGGGAACAGUCCUUUUUCCAUACUAUCUCCUGAGCCAUACCUGUGAGUCGUGUGAGAAAGCACUAGUUAACAGGGGAUAGGGCAUGUCAGAGAGCUUGUUACUAGUUAAACAGUAUGGAUAAUUGCAUGCCAGCUCUUGAGCCCAUGCCCUGGCUCCUUUUAAUUUGCAAGUACAAGCUAUAACUUACAAGAAUAUUUGCAUUCAUUUCACAUUUUGAAGAUUUGGUAAGGUGUUAUUGGUUUUACCUGUUCUUUACAGGAAAGAGUUGCACUUUUUUAGCUUCAGCAGUGUUCUUUUGGGGAUGUUCUGGUUGAGUUUUCAUUCUAGUAAUGGCAAAAGGUUUUGCCUAAGACCACUGCAGGGAAUCUAUAUUUCUCUGUUGUGAGACCUCCAUUCUAGAUGUAAAAUGUAUGAUGGCCCAAGGAAUUUCAUUUUAAAAAGACCAUUUAAGGGCUUGGAUUUAAACUGAAAGAGUGGAGGUUUAGGUUAGAUGUUAGGAAGGAAUUCUUCAUUCAGAGGGUGGUGAGGCACU